UCCUAAUGACGUUGGGAAGAGAAUGAAGGAAAUCAAUGAAGCCUCUCAAAUUAACCGUCAGGUUUGCUCCAAUUAUAAUGGUUCAAAAAACUUCAGAAGACCUUGGGGACGAGGUGGCCAGAGCAGUCAGCCACAGAGUCCAUACAGAGGCCAAUCAUGGAGAUCCAACAGAGGCAGAGGCCGAGGCUACAGAGCCAGGGGCUCCUACAGAGGAAAGUUUUAGAAUCUAAACAUGAUAAGCCGGGUGCUACAGAAAAUCCAAGACGAUCAGUGAACAGAGUGACAUUGACGUUGGAUGAACAUUGAUUUAUGUGAUGAGUUCGUUGGAUGAACAUUGAUUUAUAUGUGAUGAGUUCGUGGGAUGGACUAUUCCGAUUGAUGAGAAAGAGACUUUAUUUAGUGCUAUGAUAGAGCAGUGCAGUACAUAAUUGAACUUUAAUACAUUUAUUGUUUUCUGGUGGGGUAAUGUAAUUUGGGAUGAUUACUUUA